rnacentral:rRNA from 1 species
GGCGAACGCUGGCGGCGUGCUUAACACAUGCAAGUCGAACGGAAAGGCCCUGCUUUUGUUGGGUGCUCGAUUGGCGAACGGGUGAGUAACACGUGAGUAACCUGCCCUUGACUUUGGGAUAACUUCAGGAAACUGGGGCUAAUACCGGAUAGGAGCUCCUGCUGCAUGGUGGGGGUUGGAAAGUUUCGGCGGUUGGGGAUGGACUCGCGGCUUAUCAGCUUGUUGGUGGGGUAGUGGCUUACCAAGGCUUUGACGGGUAGCCGGCCUGAGAGGGUGACCGGCGACAUUGGGACUGAGAUACGGCGCAGACUGCUACGGGAGGCAGCAGUGGGGAAUAUUGCACAGUGGGCGGAAGCCUGAUGCGGCAACGCCGCGUGCGGGAUGACGGCCUUCGGGUUGUAAACCGCUUUCGCCUGUGACGAAGCGUGAGUGACGGUAAUGGGUAAAGAAGCACCGGCUAACUACGUG